UUGACGGGGGCCCGCACAAGCAGCGGAGCAUGUGGUUUAAUUCGAAGCAACGCGAAGAACCUUACCUAGACUUGACAUCCCCUGAAUUACCUGUAAUGAGGGAAGCCCUUCGGGGCAGGGAGACAGGUGGUGCAUGGUUGUCGUCAGCUCGUGUCGUGAGAUGUUAGGUUAAGUCCUGCAACGAGCGCAACCCUUAUCAUUAGUUGCUACCAUUAAGUUGAGCACUCUAGUGAGACUGCCCGGGUUAACCGGGAGGAAGGUGGGGAUGACGUCAAAUCAUCAUGCCCCUUAUGUCUAGGGCUACACACGUGCUACAAUGGUGAGUACAGAAAGAUGCAAGACCGUGAGGUGGAGCAAAACUUUUAAACUCAUCUCAGUUCGGAUUGUAGGCUGAAACUCGCCUACAUGAAGCUGGAGUUGCUAGUAAUCGCGAAUCAGCAUGUCGCGGUGAAUACGUUCCCGGGCCUUGUACACACCGCCCGUCACACCAUGAGAGCUGGCAACACCCGAAGUCCGUGAGGUAACCGUAAGGAGCCAGCGGCCGAAGGUGGGGUUAGUAAUUGGGGUGAAGUCGUAACAAGGUAGCCGUAGGAGAACCUGCGGCUGGAUCACCUCCUUUCUG
rnacentral:rRNA from 1 species